UACGUAGGAGGCAAGCGUUGUCCGGAGUUACUGGGCGUAAAGCGCACGCAGGCGGUCGCAGCAGUCUGGGGUGACAGUUCCCGGCCUAACCGGGAAAGUGCUCUGGAAACUGUGCGACUUGAGGGCUUCAGAGGGAUGUGGAAUUCCAGGUGGAGUGGUGAAAUGCGUAGAGAUCUGGAAGAACACCAAAGGCGAAGGCAGCAUCCUGGGAAGUUCCUGACGCUCGGGUGCGAAAGCCAGGGGAGCGAACGGG
rnacentral:rRNA from 1 species